CGCGGGGUGGAGCAGCCCGGUAGCUCGUCAGGCUCAUAACCUGAAGGCCGCAGGUUCAUUCAAAUCCUGCCCCCGCAACCA
rnacentral:tRNA from 1 species